CCUACGGGAGGCAGCAGUGAGGAAUAUUGGUCAAUGGGCGGGAGCCUGAACCAGCCAAGCCGCGUGAGGGAAGAAGGUACAGCGUAUCGUAAACCUCUUUUGGCAGGGAACAAAGGCGGGGACUAGUCCCCGGAUGAGGGUACCGGAAGAAAUAGCAUAGGCUAACUCCAUGGCAGCAGCAGCGGUAAGACGGAGGAUGCGAGCGUGAUCCGGAUUUAUUGGGUUUAAAGGGUGCGCAGGCGGCCUGUUAAGUCAGAGGUAAAAGCCCGGGGCUCAACCCCGGCGAGCCGUUGAAACUGGCGGGCUGGAGUUGGAGAGAAGUACGCAGAAUGCUCGGUGAAGCGGUGAAAUGCUUAGAUAUCGCGCAGAACCCCGAUUGCGAAGGCAGCGUACCGGCUCCACACUGACGCUGAGGCACGAAAGCGUGGGUAUCGAACAGGAUUAGAUACCCCGGUAGUC
rnacentral:rRNA from 1 species